ACCUUCGUUGUGUAGUGGUCAGCACGCUCGACGCGUAACCGAGAGGUCCGUGGUUCGAUUCCCGGCGAAGGCG
rnacentral:tRNA from 1 species